rnacentral:lncRNA from 1 species
AUGCUGAUUAUCAACCAAUUAACCUUUGCUUUUUUUCUGAACCGCAUCUAUUCAAUGUCUGCAUUUGAUUUUGUUUUAUUUUUUUUCCAGGCUGAAAGGAUUAUCCUGUUGCAUUGUAAACAACCACUAAACCUUCUAAAGAGAUUUCUCAUCUGCACUGUUUUGCUGACAUUGCUUGUCGUGGACCCAUUUCCUGGUGGUUCUCCCUGAGGGGAUUAUUUUGGCAGCCCUAGUUUGAGUGCAUGCAAAGUCAAGGAUUUAUUCCUGUUGAAAAUAAAUCUCUGGUAAGUGCUUUCA